AGAUUUUAUACCCAGUGAAAGUCCACCAGAAGACAACAUUUACAUCAGGCAGAGGUGCCUGAAACAAGGUGCCAUGUGGGACACCGGGAUCUCCAGUGACAAUAACCCAGUGGUUCAAGUCUUCUUCAGCUCGAUGGCUAUCGAUGGCAGUGAUUUCAUGCUCUCUUCCAAAUGCUGUCCAGAAGGAGUAUUUCUGAAGUGCGGCUAAAGCCUGAUUUGUACGGCUAAGACUCCAGUGUACUGAAUCAAUACAAGACACUACAUCAGCAAAUGUGACAUAAGAACAUAAUAUGCUGGAAAUACAUCUGCAGAUGUCAGCAGCGGAGAAACGAAAAGACAGGCUACUUAAGGGUAUAAUUCUCAGGUUCCAACACUGAAUAUUAUAUGGCACAAUCUGAUAAAAGGACUUGCUCCUUUAUUGUAGUAUUUUCCAAAUGCAACAGAAAUUGAUGGCUUGUUAAUUUUCACCUCAAAAAGGGUUCAAAAAUGAAAUUGUGGAAUGAUUUCUAUGCAAUAGAGCUAAAAGCCUGGAUUCUCAGCUAUUACCAACCAACUGGGUGGCUGUUUGCAAGAGGUAGAUUCCCACCGGACUAGAGCAGGUUUGCAUAAUGAUGCAUUUUCCUGUGGGUGGGACCAGUGUUGGUAGGAAUAUAUAUUUUAAUAACCAUUUGGGUUCUGACAAAAUAUUUCAGGAUUUAUAGCAUGCAGGAAGCCAGGCAUUAAUUAUUUACUGCAAAUAUUUACUGCCCACCAGCAACCUUGGGUGUCUGUUUGUAAUGUGCAUAAUAUAUUUUUCGCAUGCUUUUUGAAAGUGAAUUAGCGAGCCAUCAAUUUUUGGUAUACCUUGAAUUCUGAUACAAAAUUUAAGUGCGGUGAUAAUUACAAGAAUUCACCUAUAAUGUAAGAUGUGCAUUUAGUACCUUUUUAAUGAUGUAUUUAUUUCUUUUUGCACACU